rnacentral:lncRNA from 1 species
UAAUUUUCUUUUGUCAUUUUCUUUUUUCUCUUUCUCUCACUCUUUUCUUACCUCUUCGUAAGCUCUGAUUCUUCUCUUUCACUCUCUUUGUCUCUGUCUCUUUCUCUCAUCUUCUUCUACAUGCCUCAAACAAUUUUUUUCUCAACCACUAUCACCAUAAACGAAUCUGUCUCAACCAACAUCACCAUAACCUAAUAUGUCUCAACCCCAUCAGCUCAAGCGAAAUCUGUCUCCUUUAUUUCCGAAUUUGUGUAAGUUGUUUUCGUUUAGACUCUCUCUAUUCAUCGUUGAUUCUAUCCUUAGAUAUGUUGAUAACAUUCAUUUUGUAUGUGUUUACAUACUGAUUUGCUUUAAUUGGAAUGUAUAUUAUCUGAUAAUCAAACUUAUUUAAUUAGAAUAUAUAUUAUCCGAUAAUCAAACUUUAUAAAUUUAAUUUACAGUCCAUUUAUUUGUGUAUUUAUGCUACUACUGUCCAACUAACAGUUUACAAUCAUUUUGACUAAGCCAAAGUGUACUCACAUAACAAGAAACAUUUGAUGCUUAAUGAACAUAACUUCUUUAUUCUUAAUUUAAACCAAUUUAUUCCAAAAUGUGUUUUAAUAAUAAAACUAUUCAACUAUUUUUGAAUUGUACUAAAUCCAUUAAUUAAUUUUUAAUGUUUUAAACUUUCAUUUACAAAUCGUUAAUGGAUGUAGACACAUUAAAAAUUUGUAAGUUGAGGGAUUACAACAUUAGAAAAAUAAUUAAUGAUUUUUUUUUACAAUUCAAAAAUAGUUGAAGGGUUUUAUCACUAAAAUCUCUUAUUUAAUUUAGAUUUAGGAAAUUAUUUGUCAAAAUAGGAAAAACAAAAAUUGAUUAAAUUUAGGUUUAGUUAUUACUUCAGUGGCUUAGAUCUGUAAAUAAGUUGCAAGUCUUAGGGUUAAUUCCAAAUAGUACUUCAGUUUUAAUAGUAUUGAUUGCCUAGCAAAAUGUGAAAUUCAACUUCUACUAUGAAUUAAAAAGCCAAAGAGAAACAAUGUUCAACACAGUAAGAAAAUGUUCCAUGGAAUCAUUACAUGGCUGAUUUAAAUGAUGUAAUUGGCUAAAAAAUUUAUGCUGAUGUGGACACUGUAAUGAUAAUACAGUAAAAAUUCAAUAAAUUAAUAUUCGAUAAAUUAAUAAACAUCAUAAUAAUAGAUCUUUCUGGUUUCAAGUGGAACCGAAUCAAAAUAUGACACAAAUCGAUAAGAUAGUAAGAUAAUAUUUUUAAAUUUUAUGUGUAUAUAUUUAUUUUCGAUCGUUAAUAAUAUUAUACACAAAAAUGAUAUAUGGUAUAGGAUUCUCUUGGUUUAAAAUUUGCUUGAAACUAAAUCAAAAAUACGUGUAAAUUAAGGUAAUAACCAAAAUCAAUGGUAAUCAUACAUACCAUAGAAAUUGUAUGUAAUCGUGUAAUUUUUUUUUUGAAAUUGGUAUCCAUACCAUUAAGAUUUGCAGAAAUGUCCACUGGUUAGAAAGUAUGGGGAUUAAACCCAUAAGGCCGAUUUGAUUUGUAUGUCCACAAGCCUGAUUUGCUUUUUAAAAAAACUGCAAAAAUAAUUAGUUGGUGACUAAAUUCAUAAACCCGAUUUAAUUUGUAGUGUUAAAUAUAUAGUUGUAAUUAUAUAAGCCAAAAAAUAAAAUUAAAACGUAAUGGAUGUUUUGCCGUUAAUAAGUGUUUAGUUCUCUUAGAAAUAGUAAUGGCAUAUUUGAAAAAAAAAUAGUAUUUCAUUAAAAGUAUACUUAUUACCUAACUAAAUAUAAUUUUGUUUAUAACUAUUUCAUUUAAUACUCUUUCAGUUUCUGAAUAAGUGUCACUUUGACAAUUUUCACAUAGACUAAAAAAAUAGCGGAAAUCUACGUAAAUUAUUAUUAAUUAAAUCUUUCUGACCAAUAAUAUUUGAGAUAAAUAAAAUUAUUUAUAAAACCAAUGCUGGUAAAAGAAUGUACAAAUCCAACUCCAAUAUAUAACAAGAACAAACAUUCUUGGUGAAAGAUUAAACAAAUAUGUAAACAAGUUUUCUUCCCUAUUUGAAUCUUUUCCAAAACAACCAUUUACCAUAAUCAGAGAGUCAGUAUAACACAUUGAGUAGCUGCCGUUGCUUCGCUUCAUCUGAGCGUAGUGAGUAGAUAUCCGAUGGAGCUGUGAUGCCUCCUUGCUGGAUCAGUUUACCAUUCUUCGGUUUGUGUUGAUCGAGAUAAACAACAACGACGCUUAUGUCGUCAUGGAAAUGUCUUCGAACCCCUCUGGCGAUUUUCUUCAUAUCUCCAUAUCUCAUUUCUCUCUUCUUUGCAGCUUCCUCGAGAGCUGCUCUUACAAGUCUUCGUGCGAUUCCCUGUAGACCACAGAGAGUUAGAAAUCUAAAAAGUAGCUGACACAAAAGAGAAAAGCUUUUGAGUUUAGGAUGGCAAACUUACAGCUCUUGGGUGUUUGAGUACAAUCUCUACGGCUGCUUCGUCACUAAGAUGUUCCCAGAGACCAUCUGAUGCAAAUAUGAUAAACAAGUCCUGUGGCUUAAGCUUCCUUACUAUAAUGGAGGGUUCAGCUGUCAUCGCAGGUCUCCUCAAAGGAAUGGGGUUUCCAUGUUGCUGAAAAACCGGAUCCCUGUAAAACUCAGGCUUCUUCAAGUAUACAUCCCCAAUUGAUCUCGAUACCUAUAAAGAAGCACAUAGAUAAACGAUUUAGUUAACUACAUACAACGAGCUCAACAUUCAUGGAAAGGUCAUCAACAACCACAAAACAUAUCUCUUCAUUAUCAUGUAGACCUCUGACUACACUGGGAAAGAAACGUUGCAGGAGCCCCUGUGAAGGAUUCCUGGAACAUUACAAGCCCCCAUUUAUAUCAAACUUAAGUUACUCAAAACAGAGAAUACACACUAUCACACUACACCUUCUAUGCAUAGAAACUAACAUAUCACACAAACAAGCAAGGAAGCAAAAGCUCUAAGUAACAUACCUGAAUAAUGCCUUUAAUCCUCCAAACUCCACGAAUAUACAUAACAAUCUGCGAAUCAUCAGGGUUAAGCGCCUUAACCUCCUUCCUCACUUCUUCAACAGCAACGUUAUGAUCAGUAGAUAACCGUUCAGCUACAGCAACCCCUGAAACAACUCUCCCAAGAACAGCUCUCGAGUCUCCAAGAUUCGCAACAUACAGUGUACCAUUAGUUAUAGCACCAAAGAGACAACAAGUCCCCACAGUAGCCAUCUGCGGUUUCAACGGUAAGGAUCGUUGAACCAUAUGGCAAAAGUCCUCCUCAGUUUCUUUAAACGCUCUUUUAAUCACAUCUGGAGAUAUUCCUCCUUCUUCUUUAGCGAACUCUGCAAAUUUUUUUUUUUUUUGAAUGAAUGUUAAAUUUAUUCAUCAAAAAAACCCUUCUUACAACAAGUGUGACGUUAGUUUAUAUUGUUUAAACUCAUAACUCCUCUGCAAAUUUACAUAACAAAGAUCAGAUUUUUUUUUUUUUUAAGCAAAGUUUGAAUCUUGGAAUGAUGAGAAGAUGUGAUUACUGUGGAUAUGAGGGAAGAGAUGUCUGUUAACGAAUCUAGAAGCUUCGGGUCCGCCAUGGCCGUCGUAGACUCCGACGUAAGUGGCGGAGGAGGAUGUGAAGACCUGACUCUGAUCCUCUAGUCUCGAAUUGGCUUGAACCACCGCGAUCGAAUACUCUCCGCCGGCGUGCGGUCUCAGCUCCGAUUGCCAGAGUAAAUUAUCGCCGCUCGCUCUGCUUCCUGGGCACCACCGCUCGAGAGGCCGUACUAAAGCUCGCAACAUCACUUACUGUUAGGGUUUUAGCUGAGAGUGAAAUUGAAAUUGAAAUUGAAAACGGUUUGAUUAUUCGACGAAUGUUUGAUCUGAUAGGCUUUUUAAGAGAAUGUGUGUUGAGUUGGUGAGAGACAACCGCGUGAAGAAGAAGAUGAAGAAUAGUAUGAGAGAUGAUGACUUUGGACUCUGCCGUUCCUUAUAUACGUCCGUAGACUACGCGUCGUUUUCCUUCUUUGCCGUGCUUUUUCAAUCCUUUUUUAUUUAUUCAACGCGUUCUUUAUUUAUUUUCCACCUCCAUUUGACAACUUUUCACUUGGAAAAAAAAACAAAGUUUUGGGCGGACAAAAAAAAACAUAAACGUCAUUUUUCUUGAUAUUUUAAUAAAUAUCUUUUUUUAGUGUCCGAAUGGAGGAGCGGGACAAGUGCAGAUCUCCUGCACAUGCAGUUCUCCCGCUCUACAUUCACCAUUUUCUAUUUACAAAAGCAGUUCAAACAGGAGAUUUACAUGCAGUUCAAUAUUUUUUGUCUUUUUGUAAAAAAAAGCAGAUCUCACCCGCCAACAUUUGGUGGUGUUGAUCUGCUUUUUUUUUUGAUCAAUAAAUAACUUUGUUGCAAUACAUAACUUUAAAAAUAUAUUUAUCUACUUUUAUGAAUACUAUAUUUUUAUUUUAUUUUAUUUACAACUUUAACAAUACAAAAUUAUCAUUCUCUACUUAUUAUUUUUUAUCAUAUAAUUUUUAAUUUUUAUAAAUAAGAAAAUAAAAGAAAUAUAAAUAUCUUAUAAAACAUGUACAGGCAUUUCGGCCGAUCUUAUAACAUCUAAGAUAUUUGUUUAGAUAUCUAAGUGUCAUUUUUAUUGUUUUAAUAUAUGAUCUAUAGUUUUAAACUGAUUUUGUCAUUCAUAAGUUAUAAUAAAUUAUUUGAUCUGGUUUUCUCCUGCAUGAUCCGCUUGAUCUGCACUUGUCCCGCUUGAUCUGCACUUGUCCUGCUUGAUCUGCAUGAUCUGUUUGAUCUGUCCUGUUUGAACUGCUUUUACCAUUCGAAGCCUAAGAAGUGGUCCAACCAAAAUAUCUACUCUGAUUCAUCAUCAAUUUUCCAUCUGCAAAUCAACAGCUGCUAGUAUAUAUUGUACAGAAAUAUAUACAUAUCUAUAAUGUUUUAUUUUAGAGUAACAUACUUACGUUUAUAUGAAAUUUACGCCGUCAAUGUUCAAAGGUUAUUUAUAUAAAAAACAUGCCUUUGUAAAACUAAAUUCAUGUCUAAGAGUGUAUGUAAAUAAUCAAAGUUAAAUCGUGGAAGAAACUACAUUAAAUUAAUUAGCGAGCAUAUGAAUUGUUCAGGAGGAUAAGAGAUUCAAAGGCGUGUCUCAUUGACUUAUUUCAUUACAAGUUACAGGCAGUUCUAUAAGUAAAUUAUAUUUUGUAUUCUUUUGUCAACCAAUGGAUAUUAGUAACAUUCAAUAUAUUAGUAGGGAAAUGUUGUAAUAAGAGAAUGAGUAACGGUGAGUAAAGCUGUAACCAACGUGUAAGCUGAUAUAUACUUGCAUGUCGGCGAAUAGAAAUGGAUAACUAUUGAAUUCAUUUUCUGGCUAAUCUACUCAUCUUAGGGUUGUAUUUAGACUAAUCUACAUUUGGUUCACCACGUUAUAUACUGUUUCCAGCAUACUGGUCAAACGCUUCGUGUGUUUGUUCUAUAGAAUUGAUCAAACUUGUGAAUGUAGUUGUACUGAUUAGUGUUAAUUUAAUAGCAAGUUGGACCAUUUAUUCUAUUAAUUACAAAGAAGUUGUCUCAUUGUAAUUAAGAAACUGACGUGGACGGACAGUAUGAUGUGGGUAUAUUAAUUAAUCUUGUUUUAUCAUCACGUUAGAGCUUCCAGAAUAAGAAAGAUAUUAUAGCUUCUGGUCAAACUCUAUGUUUGUCAUGUAGAACUGAUCAAAAUAGUGAAUUUAUAGAGGUUAUAUUGUACUUUAACUAUUUUUAUUGAUCAUUAAUUUAUAGAGAUUCUAUUGUAUUUUAAUUACUUUUAUAUAUUUCCAAGCAUUUUGAAUAACUUAAGAACAUCUUAUAUAUUUUGUAUAUUAUUUUAGAUAUUAAAUAUGAAAAUAAUUAAUAUAUGUAAGUAUAUCUGGUUCGAAUAUUUUUGGAUACCCAAAAUAUUUUGUUUUGGAUCAGGUUUCGUUCUGGUUUUCUAGAUACUAAAAUUUUGAACAUAUUCGAAUAUCUAACCAAUUUUGUUAAAGUUCAGUACUACUUUUUCAGAUUAGAUUUGGUUCAGUUUUUUCCCAAACCUAUAUUUUUUAUUGUAACCAAAUUUUAAUCGAAAGUGAUGAUAGUUCAUAUUGAUUCUGGGUAUGCCACAAUUUUUAAACCAAAACACAUUAUUCUAUAUACGUAUCCAUUUAGUUAAUCAUUAAAAUUUGUUCUAUGCCCAUUUAAGGAAAACAGUGGGCCGAAAACAAAAGAAAACUUUAUAUUUUCAGAUUUUCAAUCGACACUUCUAAAUUAUCCUAUGUCGGUGUCGUGAUGAAAAAAAGAGGGAUAGGGUUAGGAAAGCAAAUUUGUUGUGCAAUCCAUAUUAUCGCUAGAUGAUUUCAAUAACAUCUACAUAAAUCUGCAUUGUAUCGAUCUCUUGUAAGACUUUUGAAAAAUAUUAAUUAAUAAAAUCUUAUAGUUGCUAUAGUAAUCAAUUUUAUUUCAAUUAAUAUAUAUGGGAUUACACUAAUCACAUAAAUCAAAACAAUACUUCUUGUUAAUUUGUAAUAUUUUUAUGGUAAAUAAAUCAAAAUAAUCAUUUUAUUUGUUUUAUAUGAUAUAUAAUUAAAUUUCAAUGGUAUUGGCAUAGAUAUAUCGUAUAUUCUAAUAUAAAUAUUUAUUAUUAAGAAUUCCUACUCAUAUGGUUUUAUUAAGAUUUGUAUAUUUGUUGUAACAAAAAAUCUAAACCAUUAAUUUCAAAAUUUUCAAUGUGAUAUUUUCUAAUGCAAAUUUAAAAAUUAAAAUAUUUAUGUAUUUUUAUAUUGUACAUAGUUUAAUUUAACUUAUAAUAUAUAUAUAUAUAUAUAUAAUAUUAAGAUCACAAUAAUCUUUCAAUGCAAAAUUUUAAAUUAACAUAUUUCUAUAUUUUUAUAUAGUAGAUAAUUUAAUUUAAAUGAUUUAUAUAAUAUGAAUAUCUAUUAAUGAGAGUUCAUAUUCAUACGAUUUACAAAAAAACAAAUAAACCAUUGAUCACAAAAACAAAAAAACUUUUAGUUACAUCAAUUCUUCAAAUUUGUUCAUUCAGCAACGAAAUAUUUCUUGACGUUAAUGAAUUCAGAAGUCAUUGAUUACAAGUUUAUGGUAAUCAAGCGAGUGUGAAUGAGGGGAUACUGUCUGUUCACUGAAGGGAUCAUUUCUCGUAGUGUGUGUAUUACGACAUUGUAAGUGGAACAUGCACUGCCUCAACGGUACAACCAUGUGUUCACUAAAGAGAAGUUCGAGACAGCACCGGUUCGCACUCAGGUAUCUGAGUUAAGGGAGUUUAUGGUCGGUCUGGGUUUUGCUUGAAUAUUAAGUCUUCUUUUAACUUGGCUUAUUCAAAUUAUAACAGAAGAGACUUUGUUUGUUUGUGGUUCUGUCUCUACCCCUCAAUGUUUUUUUGUUUGAAGGUUCUUUUGUUUUUUGUUUGUUUUGAUCUUGUUCAUCUUGUCUUAAUGGGUUGGUUCUUAUUUCUCACACUUGGGGGAGAUGAAAAUGUGAACCUAUAUCAAUAUAUCAUCAUGGAUAGAAAAAUUUACCGUCCUAAUUUUGGAGUAUGAUUUAUAUAUAUGAUUCAACAUUUUUGGUCUUUUUUCUUU